rnacentral:rRNA from 1 species
UACGUAGGAUGCAAGCGUUGUCCGGAUUUACUGGGCGUAAAGGGUGCGUAGGCGGGCUUCGUUAAGUCAGGGGUGAAAUCCUGGAGCUCAACUCCAGAACUGCCUUUGAUACUGGCGAGCUUGAGUCCGGGAGAGGUGAGUGGAACUGCGAGUGUAGAGGUGAAAUUCGUAGAUAUUCGCAAGAACACCAGUGGCGAAGG